GAUGAACGCUGGCGGCGUGCCUAAUACAUGCAAGUCGAACGAAACUUCUUUAUCACCGAGUGCUUGCACUCACCGAUAAAGAGUUGAGUGGCGAACGGGUGAGUAACACGUGGGCAACCUGCCCAAAAGAGGGGGAUAACACUUGGAAACAGGUGCUAAUACCGCAUAACCAUAGUUACCGCAUGGUAACUAUGUAAAAGGUGGCUAUACUACCGCUUUUGGAUGGGCCCGCGGCGCAUUAGCUAGUUGGUAGGGUAAAGGCUUACCAAGGCAAUGAUGCGUAGCCGAAUUGAGAGGUUGAUCGGCCACAUUGGAACUGAGACACGGCCCAAACUCCUACGGGAGGCAGCAGUAGGGAAUCUUCCACAAAGGGCGAAAGCCUGAUGGAGCAACGCCGCGUGGGUGAAGAAGGUCUUCGGAUCGUAAAACCCUGUUGUUAGAGAAGAAAGUGCGUGAGAGUAACUGUUCACGUUUCGACGGUAUCUAACCAGAAAGCCACGGCUAACUACGUG
rnacentral:rRNA from 1 species